rnacentral:rRNA from 1 species
CAUAGCGACUAUCGUGGCAUAUCAAUAAGCGGAGGAAAAGAAACUAACAAGGAUUCCCCUUAGUAACGGCGAGUGAGGCGGGAAGAGCUCAAAUUUGAAAUCUUCAAGGGUUCUACCUUUACGAAUUGUAGUUUAUAAGAAGUGUUUUCUGUUAGUAGAGUUGGCUAAAAGUUCUUUGGAAUAGGACAUCAUAGAGGGUGAGAAUCCCGUAUUUGAUCAUUCUUUCUAGCUUUGUGAUACACUUUCAACGAGUCGGAUUGUUUGGGAAUGCAGUCCAAAAUGGGUGGUAAAUUUCAUCUAAAGCUAAAUAUUGGCGAGAGACCGAUAGCGAACAAGUACCGUGAGGGAAAGAUGAAAAGAACUUUGAAAAGAGAGUUUAAACAGUACGUGAAAUUGUCAAAAGGGAAGCGUUUGACACCAGUGUUGUUUUUCCGAAAAUCAAUUACGAAUGUUUUAUUUUUGAGAAGUUAUGACUUCAUCGGCUUGCUUCUCUCUUUACGAAACUUUCUUAAUGCACUUUUCGGUUAACAAGUCAACAUCAAUUUCUUUUGUUGUAAAAGGGUAAGAGGAAGGUGGCUUACGCUUCGGCGUAAGUGUUUAUAGCCUUUUACCUCUGCAAUCGGAGAGAUUGAGGUCAGCAGCGUAGACUCCUUCGGGGGUUAGAUACACUUGUGCUAAGCUAUAGCCUUGUAUAGACAACUUGUUGACUAUGCUCAGUCAUGUAGCUUACUCGCAUGUGCUAUUUUACCUACGCUUAGGAUGUUGAUAGUCACAGCGUGUAC